UCGAUUGUGCCAGCAGCCGCGGUAAUACGUAGGGCGCAAGCGUUAUCCGGAAUUAUUGGGCGUAAAGAGCUCGUAGGCGGUUUGUCGCGUCUGCCGUGAAAGUCCGGGGCUCAACUCCGGAUCUGCGGUGGGUACGGGCAGACUAGAGUGAUGUAGGGGAGACUGGAAUUCCUGGUGUAGCGGUGAAAUGCGCAGAUAUCAGGAGGAACACCGAUGGCGAAGGCAGGUCUCUGGGCAUUAACUGACGCUGAGGAGCGAAAGCAUGGGGAGCGAACAGGAUUAGAUACCCUGGUAGUCCAUGCCGUAAACGUUGGGCACUAGGUGUGGGGGACAUUCCACGUUUUCCGCGCCGUAGCUAACGCAUUAAGUGCCCCGCCUGGGGAGUACGGCCGCAAGGC
rnacentral:rRNA from 1 species